GAAACGACUGCUAAUACCGCAUAAGCGCACAGCUUCGCAUGAAGCAGUGUGAAAAACUCCGGUGGUACAAGAUGGACCCGCGUCUGAUUAGCUGGUUGGUGAGGUAACGGCCCACCAAGGCAACGAUCAGUAGCCGGCCUGAGAGGGUGAACGGCCACAUUGGGACUGAGACACGGCCCAAACUCCUACGGGAGGCAGCAGUGGGGAAUAUUGCACAAUGGGGGAAACCCUGAUGCAGCAACGCCGCGUGAGUGAAGAAGUAUUUCGGUAUGUAAAGCUCUAUCAGCAGGAAAGAAAAUGACGGUACCUGACUAAGAAGCCCCGGCUAACUACGUGCCAGCAGCCGCGGUAAUACGUAGGGGGCAAGCGUUAUCCGGAUUUACUGGGUGUAAAGGGAGCGUAGACGGUUUUGCAAGUCUGAAGUGAAAGCCCGGGGCUUAACCCCGGGACUGCUUUGGAAACUGUAGAACUAGAGUGCAGGAGAGGUAAGUGGAAUUCCUAGUGUAGCGGUGAAAUGCGUAGAUAUUAGGAGGAACACCAGUGGCGAAGGCGGCUUACUGGACUGUAACUGACGUUGAGGCUCGAAAGCGUGGGGAGCAAACAGGAUUAGAUACCCUGGUAGUCCACGCCGUAAACGAUGAUUACUAGGUGUUGGUGGGUAUGACCCAUCGGUGCC
rnacentral:rRNA from 1 species